rnacentral:lncRNA from 12 species
GAUGCUUAGGUUCCUCACUGUCAAUGGGAUCACCUCUACACGUGCAUGCAUAGUGUUACUGGGAUAGAUGAAAUCUUUUAUUUUAUUUUAUUUUAUUUAUUUAUUUGAGAGAGAGAAAGAGAAAGCAUGCAUGAGCAGGCAGGAGGGGCAGAGGAGAGAGAGAAUCUCAAGCAGACUCCAUGCUGAGUGUAGAGCCUGAUGUAGAGCUCGAUUUCAGGACUCUGAGAUCAUGACCUCAGCCGAAAUCGAGAGUCAGAUGCUUAACCAACUGAGCCCCUGGGUCACCCCCGGUAUAGAUGAAAUUCAUGCAAGAUGGCCUCUAUGACGAUUGUCGUGAAUAAUACUGAAUCAGCUCUUGGCGCAAAGAGCCUCCUCCAUUGGACUAUCAGUGUGUCCAGAAGGGUCACCGUGAGUGAUUCUAUGUGACGCUGAACAGGUGGCUCUGGCCAGGCGCACACCAGCCCUGAGGUUGAACCCUUGCAGUCCUGCGAAGCCUGGAACCCUCCUUCCCGUGUUGAUACCCAUACCUCUACCGAUGGCUACGAUCUGCUGCAGAAAAUCCCAGGUGUUCCAACCGUUACACGUUUCUGGUGAUCGACUGCAAAGGAGAAAGUUUGUUGUUAUGAAUGAAAUGGAGUAACAUCAGGAACAAAGGAAGAGCUAAUCAAGCAGCUCUCCAGAACAAGAGAUACGGAGCCUGAGCUGGGGACAAGGAAAGGAGCGUAUGGAACAUCGCUCGGCAAUGUGGGUGCAGGUGUAGGAGGGAGCCCGUAUGUCCCCAGCCCCGUCCCGGGGUGGAAGGUGUGCGGGGCCUUGAGGCAGCAGAAGCCGGGUGUGGUUCCGCCCUGCACUCCUUCACCCUGGGGCCUCGGCAAAUGCUUCACCACCUUGAGCCUCAGUGUUCUCACCUGGAGGGCGAGGGGGGGCAGGUCCCUCCGGCUCUGCCCCUCUCUCAUGCCACUCCCACGUGAGGACCAAGCCAUGAGGUGCACGGGCAGUCUAGCAUGUUCCAGACCUAAACCCACGCGGGCCUCCCACGGGGUCGGGCUGGCGCCCUGGCCCACCUGGACGGAACACAGAGACCUGCUGCUUCGUCCGCUAGAAGCCCCUGAACGAAAGAGGACAGGAAGAGCAGGUGCAGACGUCUGUUCCCAAGGGAGACGGGUCUCCCUGGCAGACUGGAGCGUUCUCUUCUACUCUCACUCCGUGCCAGGUCAAAGAGACCCAGGAUGAGCUGCCAGCAAGUUGUUGGUACGACAAGCCCCCCGUGGCCAACAAGGA